rnacentral:misc_RNA from 1 species
GAUGAAGAACGUAGCGAAAUGCGAUAAGUAAUGUGAAUUGCAGAAUUCAGUGAAUCAUCGAAUCUUUGAACGCACAUUGCGCCCGCCAGUAUUCUGGCGGGCAUGCCUGUUCGAGCGUCAUUUCAACCCUCAAGACCCCUUCGGGGGACCUGGUGUUGGGGACCGGCACAGGGGCCUGCCUGCUUGUCUUGCAGCGCCCUCGCCGCCCCCGAAAUGAAUUGGCGGCCUCGUCGCGGCCUCCCCUGCGUAGUAGCACAAACCUCGCAACGGGAACGUGACGGCGGCCACUGCCGUAAAACAACCCAAUUUUAUUAGAGUUGACCUCGAAUCAGGUAGGAAUACCCGCUGAACUUAAGCAUAUCAAUAAGCGGAGGA